rnacentral:misc_RNA from 1 species
AAAAAAAAAAAAAAACAUAAAGGUACGAGGGAAUUGGAAAGGAAAAAGAAGCAAAACGCAAGUAAUCAUCAUCAAUCAAUUAGUAGCCCUUUCAACAUGGCGUAUAAAAACAGUUUCCAAGUCAGGAGGAGUAAAGAACUCUCUAACACCACUGUAAUUACAUUUCAAAGUAGCCUUUCGCUUCUUGGGAGCCAGAGGGCACGCAAGUCUCGUCGGAAUUCUAGCAUCGUCACUUGUCGGUGUAGUGGCGGUCGAACACUCAUCACUACUUUCGCUUUCUUUCUCCACAGGAUUUGUAAAAAUGGGCUUUAAAGGAGCUCUUAAAGGAAUUCCAGCAAUAACCCAUUUUUUAGCAUCCAAUUCCAAGCCAGAAUCAACUUGAGGCUUCCCUGAGAACCCCAUGUUUUGGAUCCAAAAAACAAAGAAAACCCUUCGAGUAAUAUAGGAUUAGGAGGCUAGCCUGCAGGGAAUAAGGAAUAAAGCGUAAAGAGAAUAAAGAAAGAGGAGAGGGGGGAGGGGGUGGUGGGGGGGUUUAUAGUGAUCGUGUGGGGAUUGGCU